rnacentral:rRNA from 1 species
UACGUAGGGUGCAGGCGUUAAUCGGAAUUACUGGGCGUAAAGUGUGCGCAGGCGGCCGCGCAAGUCGAGUGUGAAAUCCCCGAGCUUAACUUGGGAAUUGCGCUCGAAACUACGUGGCUGGAGUGUGGCAGAGGAAGGUGGAAUUCCACGUGUAGCGGUGAAAUGCGUAGAGAUGUGGAGGAACACCGAUGGCGAAGGCAGCCUUCUGGGCCAACACUGACGCUCAUGCACGAAAGCGUGGGGAGCAAACAGG